CCAGGUCCUGCCCCAACUUCAGGGCUUCGGAACUCCUCCACUGUCCUGUGGAGGGAUAGCCCUUCUACCUGACGCACACCCUACCCGGGAAGAACCAAUCGAAGACUAUCCCACCCAGGGACCCCCUUUUUUUCUGGGACCCAGCGUUUCCGCCUCCGGGGCGCAGACUCCUCCCCCUCACCGUCCCAGUUGUAUUCCCUGGAAGAGCAGCCGGAAAAGCCUCCGCCUUCUCAGACCGGGAUAGACGAGAAGCUGCUUUCUCCUCGCAGCCGGCUCUCUGAGUCCCAGGAACCGCCGCGGCCGCCGGCACCACCUGGGCCCAGCUCCAGGCGGGCGCGGCUUCAGCACCACGGACAGCGCCCCGCACGCGGCCCUCCUGCCCGCGGCGCUUUCCAGCCGGUGUAGGCGAGGCAGAGAGCUAUGCCCGCGGCAUGGCCCGGCGCUGCGGCCCCGUGGCGCUGCUCCUCGGCUUCGGCCUCCUCCAACUGUGCUCAGGGGUGUGGGGUACCGACACAGAGGAGCGGCUGGUGGAGCAUCUCCUUGAUCCUUCCCGCUACAACAAGCUUAUCCGCCCAGCCACCAAUGGCUCUGAGCUGGUGACAGUACAGCUCAUGGUGUCACUGGCCCAGCUCAUCAGUGUGCAUGAGCGGGAGCAGAUCAUGACCACCAAUGUCUGGCUGACCCAGGAGUGGGAAGAUUAUCGCCUCACCUGGAAGCCUGAGGAGUUUGACAAUAUGAAGAAAGUUCGGCUCCCUUCCAAACACAUCUGGCUCCCAGAUGUGGUCCUGUACAACAAUGCCGACGGCAUGUACGAGGUGUCCUUCUAUUCCAAUGCUGUGGUCUCCUAUGACGGCAGCAUCUUCUGGCUGCCGCCUGCCAUCUACAAGAGCGCAUGCAAGAUUGAAGUAAAGCACUUCCCAUUUGACCAGCAGAACUGCACCAUGAAGUUCCGUUCGUGGACCUAUGAUCGCACGGAGAUCGACCUCGUGCUCAAGAGUGAUGUGGCCAGCCUGGACGACUUCACACCUAGUGGUGAAUGGGACAUCGUGGCGCUGCCGGGCCGGCGCAACGAAAACCCCGACGACUCCACGUACGUGGACAUCACGUAUGACUUCAUCAUUCGCCGCAAGCCGCUUUUCUACACCAUCAACCUCAUCAUCCCCUGCGUGCUCAUCACCUCGCUGGCCAUCCUCGUCUUCUACCUGCCGUCCGACUGCGGCGAGAAGAUGACGCUGUGCAUCUCCGUGCUGCUGGCGCUCACCGUCUUCCUGCUGCUUAUCUCCAAGAUCGUGCCGCCCACCUCCCUCGACGUGCCGCUCGUAGGCAAGUACCUCAUGUUCACCAUGGUGCUUGUCACCUUCUCCAUCGUCACCAGCGUGUGUGUGCUCAACGUGCACCACCGCUCGCCCACCACGCACACCAUGGCACCUUGGGUGAAGGUCGUCUUCCUGGAGAAGCUGCCCACACUGCUCUUCAUGCAGCAGCCGCGCCACCAUUGCGCCCGCCAGCGCCUGCGCCUGCGGCGACGCCAGCGUGAGCGCGAGGGCGCCGGAGCCCUCUUCUUCCGCGAAGCCCCUGGGGCCGACUCCUGCACGUGCUUCGUCAACCGCGCGUCGGUGCAGGGCUUGGCCGGGGCCUUCGGGGCUGAGCCUGCACCAGGGUCGGGCCCGGGGCGCUCCGGAGGGCCGUGUGGCUGUGGCCUCCAGGAGGCGGUGGACGGCGUGCGCUUCAUCGCGGACCACAUGCGGAGCGAGGACAACGACCAGAGCGUGAGUGAGGACUGGAAGUAUGUUGCCAUGGUGAUCGACCGCCUCUUCCUCUGGAUCUUUGUCUUUGUCUGUGUCUUUGGCACCAUUGGCAUGUUCCUGCAGCCUCUCUUCCAGAACUACACCAGCACCACCUUCCUCCACUCAGACCACUCAGCUCCCAGCUCCAAGUGAGGCCUUCCUCGUCUCCGUGCUCCCUCACCCCGCCACGCUCUGUUGCACAGUGGGAUUGGGUGGAGGACGGACGAGUGAGCUACCAGGAAGAGGGGCGCUGCCCCCACAGAUCCAUCCUUCCACUUCAUCUGGAGCCCCUCCUCCCCCACACCUCCAUCCACACACAGCAGCUCCAACCUGGAGGCUGGACAAGCUGCUUUCUGUUUUGGCUGCUCUCUCUUCUUGUACCAGCCCAGGCAACAGUGUUGACGGGGGAACAAGCCUGCCGAGAAGCAGAAGACAGAGAUGGUAGAGCCAUCCACCCUGAGGAGUGAUGGGCAAGCGGUCAGGAAGGGGCCAGGAUCGUCUGCUGCCUCCAAGUCUUGGGAGAAGAGCAGUAUAGGACAAGGGGUGAAGAGCAGGCACUCAGACCGCACCAGGCUGGCCUGACACAAUGGUAGCUCAGAAGGGAGGGGAAGAGGAGAGAGGCCCCAUGUGACCUGACACCUACCGCUAUUUGAGUGGACAGCAGCUGGACUGGGUGGGCCCCACAGAGGUCAGCAGUUCCUGCCCAGUGGGUUUAGCCUGGCCCCGCGGUCACAGACCCCUGGGGGAGGCUUCCAGCUCAAUCCCACAGCCCCUUGCUUCUAAGGGGUCCCGAGACCUUCCCCAGAUCCUCUUUACCCACUGAAGAAUUCUGCACCUUCUAGACUUUCCUCUCCUUCCUUUCUUCUCGGGCUCAAGGUGUGUUGGGUAAGCCUGAGUAUUAGGGGAGCUCCUGAGUUCUGAAUCUUUGAGGGAGCUGCUUGGAGUCUCAGGUCCGAAUACUUGAACUCUGUGUGACGUGCAAGUUCAUGGGCUUUUGGAACUGGAAGAACUUUGUACAGCCACGGGUUCCAACAUGAGCCAUGUUGCAGAUGAAGAAACAGACCCACACGGAGAGACAAGCCCAGGCAGGUCUCUGGCCCUUCCUCCCUGCCCUGAGAUCCAUCUGUCGAGUGCUCUGUUUUUUCCCCACUUUGAACUGACUGGUGACUUGAAGGAAUGAACAAAGGAUGUUAGCUUUAGGCCGACCCAGUCUUUGACUGCAGUAGAGGUGAGCCGAACGGCUGGAACUCUGCUACAUCUGGGCCGCUCCACCCUGUCCUGUCCGUGGCUCCAUCCUCUGGCUGUCACUCUUCCUCUUCCCCCUCCCAACCAAACCUGAGCCGCUUUGAAGCAGAACCUGGAAAGGACAGGGCUGCUGCUGCCAGUGACUCCUCAGAAAGCACAGCCUCAGCUUCCUGUCCCAUGUGUCCCUGGAAGCUGUACCCUGACUCUGCUCCCAGAGGCCAGCUGGAGGCCACUUGACCAGAUAGCCCAGGGAACAGACCUCUUAAGGGAUCUCCUGUUUGCUUGUGGUCCCAGCCUGGGCUCAAUGCUGGGCCAGCAGAUGGGCGGCCCUACUCCUCAGCCCACUUAGGGAGAGUUGUGGGAGGACAGCAUUGUUCCCUUUGGAGACAAGGUGGCUGGGCACUCGCCUCAGGCUUUAAGGAAACCGUCCACUUUCUAAAAGACCUGGCACCACAUUUCCCUCCAUCUGGAACCAGGAGCUGUCUGAGAACAGAGAGGACAGAGGCACUUGAGAGUCCUGCUACAUCACAGCAGGCAGAGACAACAGCCUUCAUUGUCUUUCCAUUUAUAACUGUUGGCCGGUACUGUGGCUCACGCCUGUAAUCCCGGCACCAUGGGAGGCUGAGACAGGUAGAUCACCUGAGGUCAGAAGUACGAGAUCCGCCUGGCCAACGUGGUGCAUAGAAUAUUGGCUGGGCGUGGUGGCGGGCAUCUGUAAUCCCAGCUAUUUGGGAGGCUGAGGCAGGAGAAUCGCUUGAACCUGGGAGGCAGAGGUUGCAGUGAGCCAAGAUCACACCACUGCACUCCAGCCUGGGCGACAAGAGUGGGACUUGGUCUCGAAAAAACAAAAACAACAAGAAACGAAAGCUGUUCAGCUCACCCAGCAAUGUAUUUCAGCACAUGAUGAAUGACAGCUGUGGUGUUCUGGUCCCUAAGAAAUAUGCCCACGUGUCACUGGCCCUUCUAGCCUCAGUUGUUCCUUCUGUGUAAUGGAUGAGGCAGGUUUCAUUGGGACUUAGCCCCAGUGUUAAGUGCUUUAGGUCCUCUGGUAUGAUAUUUUUUAAAGGUCUAGGAUGAGUCCUCUAGAAAUUCUGAAGUAAGUUUCAACGUGAAAAAGGUACAUUCUCUUUCAAAUUCAAGGAGAGAUGUUUUGGAUGUCACCUACAAUGUAAAACGAAAAUGGUGCAUCUCCUGACUGCAGCCCAGCCUGUCCUGGUCCCGGCUGCAACUUUACUCCAAGUAUGCAUAUUCCUGGAAGCUAAACAGCUGCGGGUAGUGGGGUUUGCGGGAGCUAGAAAAACGCCCCUGAAGGAGAGCUGGCAUCGUGCACGUAAUUGCUAACCCCGUCUCAAGGGAUGUUUUUCUCCUCUGGGCCUUGACAUCCUGCAUCGCAAGUCCCGUUGGACAAGAUAUUUAAUAGUGGGCUCUGCUGGGGAAGUAAUCAGAAGGUGCCUGAUGAACCCCACCCCCACCCAGACACACACUUACCCACCACGGGAGGUUCUUUGAAACCGCUCCUUUCCAGAGACUGAAGGAUGGCCCCGUCCCCGGCAGGUUCAUGUCAGCUACCACUGAUGCUGUUAUCAGAAACCCCAGGGCCAGGUCCCUCUGUUCCCAUUUUCACCUCCCCCAAGAAACCAGGACUUGAAAUUUCAUCUAAGAAUUCAGAUUCUUUUUUUUUUUUAUUUAUGAGGAAUGUAUAUUGGGGGUUGUUAUUAGCAAGGGACACGUAAAAGCGGAAUCAUAAACUGGACUGCAGCCAUCAUCACGGCACCCAAGCCUAUGCUCUUGGGCUCUUCCUGACUCUGCUCUUGGAGUCACAACCAAGACUCCAAAAAACCAACGAAGUCCUUUCAACGUGAGUAAAGGAAACAGCUUUAAGCAUUGACGAUUUUUACAAGUGAUUAUUCAAGAAAUGCACAGUAGCCACAGUUCAGACAAAUCAACUACCAAAAUCAUUAAAAAGAAAGAGGGGGGAGGGGUGCUGCUUAUUUAAAACAAAAGACUGGACAAAAAAGUGAAGAUAACAGUGGGCGGAAGCGCUGCCUCCUCUGUCCUGUGUGACUCAGAGGGGCAAGGGGGCGUGGGGGUGCGUGACCAGACACGGCUCACGUCCAGCAGACGCGUGGAAUUCAGGGAUGCCUUGCUCUCUUCCUACAACAGAAACGGAAUACUACAGGCUUGCUAGAUAAGAUCUUGGGGGUGAGUGGGGGUUCUGAUCUUGUGGGAGCCUGUGUUCCCAGUUAAAGAAGAGGCAGCUGGCCAGAGCUCUGCUGGAGAAUCUAAUGCCCAAGACGGACCCGAGGCCAAACAUUUGGAGGACUCAGUCCCUCCAAUGCUGAGAACCACAGACCUCUCUGCCCUGGAUGUGGAUGCCAAGACUGAUUUACUGCGCCCAUAGCAGACUCAGAGCUAGGGAGCAGGCCUCUUCCACCUCAGGAGCCAAGUGUCAUUUCCCUGCCAGUUCCUUGGGACGCUUUGGUUGUGCAAGGACAUCCUUAGUCUAUUUUUAAAACUUGCGUUUUCUUAUUUUUGGUCAGAAGUACAGAGGGUAUAGAAUAAAAGCGAAGAUGUGAAUGCCUCUACCAUUGAACAGGGGUGACCUAGUCAGCAGUGAAGGGAAAUCAACUGAGGGCGCUGGCUCAGCACGUUCCCAGAUGAAGCUCUGUCGUCUAAGGGGAGAGGCAGGCUCAGGUCCUGGACGUGGCAGAGCCUUGGUGGUCCUCCUGAGUGUGUCUAGCUGACUGUUACCAAGGGACAUGUAAACGCAGAAUCAGAACUGCCACACAGCCAUCAUCAUGGCACCCAAGUCUAUGCUUGAGCUCUUCCCCACUCUGCUCUUGGAGUCAUGACCAACACUAAAAGCCCACAAAGUCUCUCCAACAUGGGUAGAGGAACUAGCUUCAAGCAUUGACAGUUUUUACAAGUGACUAUUCAAAGAAUGCACAGGAGCCGGAGAACCAGACUCCACAGAGAGGCCAACGGCUCUGACCACACAAGUCAAGAGUCACUGUCACUGUUACGUGGAGGUGUAGACAAAGGAUUCCACCUCACAGAGUUUGAAGACAACCUGCCCUUUCACCAACGACUGCUUUCCAUGUCAGCCCUAUAAAGAUCAGGUCUGCGCCCUGCUCACGAACCUACUUCUGAAACCAUCUGGAAAACUGAAAGGACUUCGAUAAAUGGAAAAGUAUGCUUGAAUUUUAAAUCUGCGCAAUUAUAGGUUAUCUGUAGCACUUAAGAAUCAACAUCUAUGGCAUUCUUUUAAACACUCCUAAUUUACAUAGGACUUAGUCAAAUUCCCUUGGUAUCACUGUCAUGUGAGAGAUGAUGCCGGGUGGAACGGUGAUGUGAGCCAGCAUGAUUUUUUGCCCUUCUUCUCGCUAAGUCAUGAAUAUCUGAGCAGAGAUGAUUUUACACCCUCUGGGAUUUGUCCUGGAUUUUUCCUACCAGUUGGUUAGGGUGUACACCCAGCACUGGCAGGGCAAAUUCCUAGGAAUGCUUGAGGGGAAGAGGCAGCUGGAAGCUUGGCAAUAUUCUAAGGAAUGCCUGUGCUCCCUGGGAAGUGGUCUGUGUCACGCUGCAGGGUGAAACCUCAGCUAUUGCUUGGGCAACUCCCUUAACCCAGUCUGGCUGGUUCUAGGCUUCCCUGCUGCAGGGGGAAGGGAUGCACUCUGGGAAGCAGCCCUCCUUGCCUUGCCUGCCCUGCCGCUGGCUAAAGUGCAAGAUGGGAAGAUGGCUGGGCAUUACCUGCAGGUUCCAGCCACACUUGCAUGUACUGGUAACUGCAGUUUGAAACUCCUCCCCUCGCAAAUGUUUCACCAAAUCCUGUAAGUUCAUCUCCGAGGGGGAUAUGGAGAAAUUCUGAUCACAAGGAAAGAAUCUCAGAAGAAGAGGAGGGGAAGCAGCAUUGGGAUCUCUGUAAUCCACAAAUGAUAUCAGUCCCUGACAUGAUCCAGAGUUGACUGAAACCUAAUCAAGACCACAAGAGGUCAGUGUAGCAAACACAAAGGGAAAGAUGGACAAAAAUCAAAACAAAACUUUUAAGAGGAAAUGGACCGCAGGUGCUCAGUGACUAUGCGCAUUUUGGGUAGAAAGAAAAGGUAACUUGUUAGGUCUCUGCCUCUUCACUUGGGGAAGAAAAAGGGGGCCUGGCCAGACCUUGCCUAGCAAUCCCAAGGUAGGAUAAAUGAAAACCCAAAGUUUUCAGUAUCACCAACUAUGGCUUAAAAAGAAAAAAAAAAAAGGGGAAAAAAAAUCCCCUGACCAUGUGAUGAGGAAUGCUACA